AGAAAAGUAUAUAUUAUAGGUUCUUAAUAUAAGAUUAAUAGGGAAAGAGGUUAAAAUCCUCUACAGCCCCCGCUACUGUGAUGCUGAUGAAAUUUCUAAAACCACUGUAAUAUUAGAUUAUGGGAAGGAGAAAGAGUAAAAUGAAGCUAAGUCAGGAGACCUGCCUAAUAAUAUUAAAUGAUU
rnacentral:ncRNA from 1 species